rnacentral:rRNA from 1 species
CCCUUAGAUGUUCUGGGCCGCACGCGCGCUACAAUGAUGAAUUCAACGAGUUUAUAACCUUGGUUGAAAAGCCUGGGUAAUCUUUUGAACUUUCGUCGUGAUGGGGCUAGACCCUUGCAAUUAUUGGUCUCCAACGAGGAAUUCCUAGUAAACGCAAGUCAUCAGCUUGCAUUGAUUACGUCCCUGCCCUUUGUACACACCGCCCGUCGCACCUACCGAUUGAAUGGUCCGGUGAAAUCUUCGGAUUGAGACUUUGAUUUGUUUACUCAAAACGCUAUUUCAAGAAGUUGAUUAAACCUUACCAUUUAGAGGAAGGUGAAGUCGUAACA